rnacentral:rRNA from 1 species
CGUGUAGGUGGCUAAUUAAGUCAGGUGUGAAAUCCUUCCGCUUAACGGAAGAAGUGCACUUGAAACUGCUUAGCUAGAGUACGGGAGAGGAAGGUGGAAUUCCUGGUGUAGAGGUGAAAUUCAUAGAUAUCGGGAAGAACACCGGUGGCGAAGGCGGCCUUCUGGCCCGAUACUGACGCUGAGACGCGAAAGCGUGGGGAGCAAACG